rnacentral:rRNA from 1 species
GACGAACGCUGGCGGCGUGCUUAACACAUGCAAGUCGAACGAGACGAUUGAAAGCUUGCUUUCGAAAGUCGAGUGGCAAACGGGUGAGUAACGCGUAGACAACCUGCCUUUGAGAUGGGGACAACAGUGCGAAAGGACUGCUAAUACCGAAUGUUGUAUAUUUUCCACAUGGAAGAUAUAUUAACGAUGGGCUCUAUUUAUAAUCUAUCGCUCAAAGAUGGGUCUGGGUCUGAUUUGCUAGUUGGUGGGGUAACGGCCAACCAAGGCGACGAUCAGUAGCCGGUCUGAGAGGAUGAACGGCCACAUUGGGACUGAGACCCGGCCCAGACUCAUACGGGAGGCAGCAGUGGGGAAUCUUCCACAAUGGACGAAAGUCUGAUGGAGCAACGCCGCGUGAGUGAAGAAGGGUUUCGGCUCGUAAAGCUCUGUUGUCGGGGACGAAUGUGCAUUACUUGAAUAAAGUAGUGUAAUGACGGUACCUGACGAGGAAGCCACGGCUAACUACGUGCCAGCCGCCGCCGUAA